rnacentral:piRNA from 1 species
UCACAGUUCACACCAGUGCUACCAGAUC